rnacentral:lncRNA from 1 species
UGACUGUACAGAGGAGUGUCAAGGAUGCUGGUACGGCAAAUGUGUUAAAGAAGAUGGACGAUGUGUCCAGUGCCAACCCGGAUAUCACUCAAAUGAUUGUAACGUGCCAUGUUCAGACGGCUGUCGUGCAAGUUUUGAUGGCCAUCGGUACUGUGACCGACACACAGGGAGGUGUCUGGAGGGGUGCGUCCCUGGUCGGUGGGGACAUCAGUGUCAGAAACUCUGCACCGGCAACUGUGAUCAAUCCGCAUGUCACCAGGACGCAGGAACAUGUCUUCUUGGCUGCACCGAUGGAUGGUUCGGCGGCCAGUUGUGUGAUAAACCAUGUCCAGAAAACUGUCUCCACAAUAGGUGUAACUUAUUCCGGGGAUACUGUGAUCAAUGCAAGCCAGGGUACAUUGGGGAAAAGUGUGGCCUUUCCUGUACAAACUGUGUUGACAAUAUAUGUACCUACAAUAAGUUGUUAUCAUCCGUUCGAUGUAUCAAAGGAUGCGUCAGAGGGUGGACUAGGGAGGACUGUUCGACGAGAUGCAGCAACGCAUGCGUAGACGAGAGAUGCAACAUGGAUGGAAGUUGCCAGGAAUGUAGGAAUGGUUACCAUGGUGACACGUGCACUGAGAGAUGCGCAGAUAAUUGUUUGAAAUGUGAACAGAAGUCAGGAUUAUGCACCAAAAGGAGAGAGAUACAUGUAAUUCUUCAAACAAAAGUCAAAGAAGAUGUUACAUCACAGGGGUGUGUGACGAUGUCCCCACCUCACUGGGCGUGGCUGGUGGUGACUAUAUACUGCCUGUUCUAUUAGCAUUGUGUGUGUGGACACGCUAGGAGAAGACCUGGUGAAUACUCCUACUGUUUAUCUCCCCUUCUCUUGGUGUUCAAGGAUGGUCGAUAACAGUUCGUAAAUAUCGCCAUUCAGCGGACAUUGGGUCAAGACUGAUACAUUCUGAACCAUACAACAGUUCAGCACGAAGUAUUCAAAAGAAAUAUUCAAAUUAUUAUAUAUAGUAGCAAAUAACUGACAAUAUGAUAAAUCGAUCGUAAUCUUAAACUGAAAUAUGUAACAGAUACACAAACACAAACAGAGAAAUAUUAAAUGCUACAUCAUGACUUUAUCAUCGAGUCUAAGUGUUUCAGUAAAACAUUGUAAAUGGGACUUUGCUGGAGACACAUGAAUUUGUAUUCAGAUCUUAUGUUAUCUUGAAGCGCUAACUCAUUUCUGGUGUCCCCCGCCGUGAUAUUGCUGGAAUAUUGCUAAAAGCGGCGUAAAACCAUACUCACUCACUCACUGAAGCGUUAACUUCUCUAAGUAUUACAGCAAAACGCAUUAUAGUGUGUUGUCAGUUGGUUUUAUUAUUAAUUUAUGCUUGCUUUAUCCAUUGUAUGUUCUCUGCACCCGGUUUGGGCUUAAAACCUUUGUUGUCAAGCCAAUGAAACGUGUGUGUGUGGACUGGUUAAUAUGUAAGAGUAGGAGUACAAUGUACUUAUUGUGUAAGUAUUCCUCCAUGUAUAACAGUACGUCAGAGUGUGGUGUAAUGUUUUAUGAGACCUAUAUUAUUGCAGAGACCAUAUCUCUGAUUGUUGAUGUCAAUGAAAAGAUGAUUGAGCUUUGCUUAUAUUGUAUUAGAUCAUAUUAUAUCAUAUCGGAAUUUGUUUGGUAAUUCUUCCUCGUAGAUGCAAACAUCUGUCUGAUACUAAGCUUCGUGUGUCGGGCACCGUCUGACAAGGUAGAUGUGUCACAGAGACUGAUUAAGGACACAUUUAAUUCCAAAGGCUACAAUAACGAUGUGUUUAACCUGACUGCAUGCAGUUAUAUAUUUGAUGCUUAUCUGCAUCCUUACUUCUCACCACCAUUUCAUUGCAUACUGUUAUUUUAUAUUAUGACAUUUAUAACCAUACUUGGUCAUGCCCUUGGUCGUGCAUGUUUACCAUCACAUCAAUAAGUCCAAGGAAAUGUCACUGUCUCUUAAUCUGGCCAUUGUUGUCGCUUCAUCUUACCAUUGUUGUUUUGUACUAUAUAUGUUUACAUCCAAUAUUCUGACUGUGACAGGACGACCACGAACGGGAUAUGCCGCUGGAAACAUCCUGAGGUUGAGCUGGAUCUCACCAAUGUUUGAGCCGGAAUAUCCGAUCAUUGCUGUCUGAGUAUAUUUGUUUAUCAUGUAUUGUUUAGUCAAUAAAGAAGUUUGGACUCA